AUGAUGGCAAAGCUAAUAAAAAAUUUAAUCAUUCAGACCCUGCUCUCUUCAAAGAAGCUCUAACAUUUGGAUGUCUGAUAAUUAUUGAGAUGACUAAUUGAUGUGUUGCCUUCUUCAAUAACAGAUUAAAGACACAAGGUACGUUUUCUGAGGAGUGCAGAACACUGAGAAAAGUUUUCCAAGUCCUCAGGAAAAGUUGUCUUACUUCUCACAAGACCCAGCUUGAAGAGGAGGUUAUUCCCUAUGACUCAUUCAUUCUAGCUACACAGAAUGCAUAAAAGCUUUCACUAUUACAGGAUAAUCUAGGGUUCCCAAGGCCUAUUAACCCUAUGCAGGGUUGAUGGAUAGAAACCAACAUUUCCAGAAGAUCUUCAGGGAAGAAAAGCAGCUGUAGGUAAGGCUAGAUGUCUAUGAGUAACAGAAUUUUGCCCUCAGUGGCUAAUUAAGAGGGUUCCAAAUUGCAUAUCCACCUAGGAUUUUAGCUGAAUAAAAGCCUCUUUGGCACACUGCA
rnacentral:lncRNA from 1 species